rnacentral:lncRNA from 1 species
UGGCUGCUCUGUUCCCUGCCUCACCUGCCUGCUCGCAGGCUGCUUGAAAAGGUCUAGGCUUUGGGCCUGAAUUCUGGACCCAGUCUACAUGCAGAACAUCCCACAAGAGCUUCCCAUUAAGAGGACUUAACCACCAGAUUGGGAACCAGGUAACCAAGAUCCCAAUUCUUGCACCUGCUGGUGGGAGGAGCCUGACCGCCUGUGAAGCAUCCUUCUUCUCUGCUCUCAGAGGCCCAGUUCUCCCAAAGCCCUGCUCCUCAUACAAGUCCCAGCCUCUGCCAGCCACAGAGCAACAGACAACCCUUCUGGGAAGCUUCCUCCCCACUUAACAUGCGUGGGGUGCAGCCUCUUGCCAUUUAAUGCAUGGACAACAAUCAGCAUACAGAUUGAACUGCUG